rnacentral:rRNA from 1 species
GACGAACGCUGGCGGCGUGCUUAACACAUGCAAGUCGAGCGGUAAGGCCCUUUCGGGGGUACACGAGCGGCGAACGGGUGAGUAACACGUGGGUGACCUGCCUUUAGCUCUGGGAUAAGCCUGGGAAACUGGGUCUAAUACCGGAUACGACUCCGCGGUGCAUGCUGUGGGGUGGAAAGCCUUGUGCGGCUGGAGAUGGGCCCGCGGCCUAUCAGCUUGUUGGNGGGUGAUGGCCUACCAAGGCGACGACGGUAGCCGGCCUGAGAGGGCGACCGGCCACACUGGGACUGAGACACGGCCCAGACUCCUACGGGAGGCAGCAGUGGGGAAUCUUGCGCAAUGGGCGAAAGCCUGACGCAGCGACGCCGCGUGAGGGAUGACGGCCUGG